UCGUGCAGAAAACUGCACCGGGCGGCAAUGGGACCUACGAGAGUAUGCGAUAAAAAUCCCACGCAGAAGCACACGUGCCGCAAGCAGUACAAACGUCACGUAACGGAAAAAUAGAAGUGCGUGUUUGUGUAGUAGUUGAGGGAAGGAACGAAAAAGAAACGGCGCACAUAAGGUUGCCGAGCCGUUACAGCAUUAGGCCAGGCAAUCUUCAAAUGUGACGUUGAACGCAGAGGCUGUGAAGUAGCCGCGAAUGGCAUAAAGGAGAACAAAACCGACAUGCUGCGCUGCGACACACACAGGCCUCUCCUCCGACCUCGGUCACGGCGCAACGCACAUCUACGCGCAGUGCCGGCUUGAACGGCAAAGGAUCCGGCGGCAGAAGCCAACUGGCUGGCACUCACAGACUGGCAGGUGUCAUCUCAAGCUAGCACAACUAUCAAAGAAAUAGAAAAAUAUGCAAUUUGGUGGUUUCGUCGUGCAUCAGAGCAAGCAGCGGCAUUGGUGAAGAAAGGAGCGGCUGCUGUUUACUCAGAUGCCACAAGUGCACAGCUUGAGCUUGGCCAUGCGGAGGACCCCGGCAUGCAGCAAGAAUGAAAAUGUGCAUUUCUGGCGAAACGAGACACCAUGGCAAACACACACUAUGAGUUACUGCAGGUGAAACCUGAGCAAAUACUUCCGACGCUUGCUCACGUACUCCUUAUACUCAGGAUCAAAGCCACGGCGUUGUUCACGCUGCUGCAAUACACUGUCGCAAGCUCUGUUUCUUCUAACUAAUGCGUCAAUUAUCCGUAGAAAAACAAAUAAAAGAAUGCACAUAAGCAAAGAACUUUCAUUUUCUUAACCACAUGGCUACAGAAAAAGUCACUGCCGAUGAAAUGCGCACUGCACACUUUCAUCGGUGCUGUGCCUGCCUUGCCAAUUCACAACUUGACAACCCGUUCUUUCUU
rnacentral:lncRNA from 1 species